GAUGAACGCUGGCGGCGUGCCUAAUACAUGCAAGUCGAGCGAACGGACGAGAAGCUUGCUUCUCUGAUGUUAGCGGCGGACGGGUGAGUAACACGUGGAUAACCUACCUAUAAGACUGGGAUAACUUCGGGAAACCGGAGCUAAUACCGGAUAAUAUUUUGAACCGCAUGGUUCAAAAGUGAAAGACGGUCUUGCUGUCACUUAUAGAUGGAUCCGCGCUGCAUUGGCUAGUUGGUAAGGUAACGGCUUACCAAGGCAACGAUGCAUAGCCGACCUGAGAGGGGGAGCGGCCACACUGGAACUGAGACACGGUCCAGCCUCCUACGGGAGGCAGCAGUAGGGAAUCUUCCGCAAUGGGCGAAAGCCUUACGUAUCAACGCCGCGUGAGUGAUGAAGGUCUUCGGAUCUUAAAACUCUGUUAUUAUGGAAGAACAUAUGUGUAAGUAACUGUGCACAGCUUGACGGUACCUAAUCAGAAAGCCACGGCUAACUACGUG
rnacentral:rRNA from 1 species